rnacentral:rRNA from 1 species
GUUAUACUAUAAAGUCAAGAAAAGUUUAUUUUUAAAUGGAAGAAUUGUUUCUAAAAAAUUCUUAGUUUAUUUUGGGUGAAAUCUAAAGGACUUUUAUUUUUUAGUAAAAGAUUUCUUAAAAAUUUUUGAGAAAACUAGGAUUAGAUACCCUAUUAUGGAAAUAAUAAAAAAUUAAGUAGUAUUUGAAGACUUGAAACUUAAAGAAUUUGGCGGUGUUUUAAGCUAAUUAGAGGAAUCUGUUUUUUAAUCGAUAUUUCACGUCAUAUCUAACUUUAUCUUAGUUUGUAUAUCGUCGUAAAAAUAAUAUUUGAAAAUUAUUAUUAGGGAAGAUUUUAUCUUUCAUGUCAGAUCAAGGUUUAGCUUAUGAUUUAGGUAAAAUGGAUUACAAUAUAUUGAUAUAUAAUGAAUAGAUAAAUGAAAUAUUAUCUUGAAGGUGGAUUUAAAAGUAUUUUUGAAUAAAAUGUAAGAU